rnacentral:rRNA from 1 species
GAUUAACGCUGGCGGCGUGCAUAACACAUGCAAGUCGAACGAUGAAACUUUACUGACUUCUUCGGAAUGAUUUAAAGCGGAUUAGUGGCGAACGGGUGAGUAACGCGUGAGUAACCUGCCUUACACAAGGGGAUAGCCUCUGGAAACGGAGAAUAAUACCCUAUGAAACCAGACAAUCGCAUGAUAAUCUGGUCAAAAUGUUUAGUGGUGUAAGAUGGACUUGCGUCUGAUUGCUAGUUGGUGAGAUAAAAGCUCACCAAGGCAACGAUCAGUAGCCGGCUUGAGAGAGUGUACGGCCACAUUGGGACUGAGACACGGCCCAGACUCCUACGGGAGGCAGCAGUGGGGAAUUUUGCACAAUGGGGGAAACCCUGAUGCAGCGACGCCGCGUGAUUUAGAAGGCCUUCGGGUUGUAAAAAUCUUUUGUAUAGGAAGAAAAUGACAGUACUAUACGAAUAAGGUCCGGCUAAUUACGUG